AAACAAAAGCAUAGUACCAGCAUCUGCUGGUGAGGACCUCAGGAGGCUUCCACUCAUGGCGGAAGGUGAAGGAGGAGCCGGCAUGUCACUUGUUGAGAAGAAGGAGCAACGGAGAGAGGAGGAGAACCACCUAAGCUAAAGAUUCUUUUGAGAACAAGGGCUAGCCUGUGGUUUCAUGGCCUUUCUUCCAUUUGGGGUUCUUGCCAAGUGGAAUUUAAAUGACCUCUUAUCAAGAUGGAUAAACCCAAGUUUCCCAGUGCUGGAAUACAGAAAAUGGAUGGACAAGAUGUCUUUUUGUCACUUCCAGCUGGAUCUACCAUGAAAGACGUCAGAGUCCAGGAAGAGAGACUGACUGGGCAACAUGUUAUUCAGAAUUAGAGAAGAUGAUGUGGUGAUGGAAGAAGAGGUCAGAGAGGGAGAUUUGAAGAUGUUGCAGUUCUGGCCUUCAAGAUGGAGUCAGGGGCUAUCUUCAAGAGAGAAGAUCUUGAUCUGUGGCCCAGGCUGCAGUACAGUG
rnacentral:lncRNA from 1 species